rnacentral:lncRNA from 1 species
CAAUAUCUGAACACACAAGGAAACUAUAAUCUCCUCCUUCACCUUAUUGGUCUCUUCCUUACAACAAUUCAGUCAUACCAAUAACUACUACUUCCACCAAUAUAUUCACCCUCAUAAUCUCCAACUGUAAUACUAUGCCCUCACAGUUUUCAGCACACAAUUAUCCUCGUUCCAAUCAUUGGAAUUCUUCACAUAGAAUUGCCAUUCAUAUUACAGUGUUUCACACAAACACAGACUCAAUCUCUCUGCUGAACUACAAUCAGAUUUCAGCAUUCAAUCUUUCUUUUUCUCAAAUAAUACCAAUCACAUUUUUAUUUCAUAAUUCACUUCACAAUAUUCAGAAACUUUCAAUCAUCUUAUUCAAAGAAAAUAACAAACAAAAGAAAAGAGGUAGUACCAAGCUUACCCCGGUUCACGACUCUCACAGUCUGGUCCUCGCUUCAUAACUCUCACAGUCUGGCCCUCGGCUCACAACUCUCACAGUGUGGCCCUCGGCUCACAACUCUCAUAGUCUGGCAUUUUCUUCCCCUCUCCCAUCCUCCUUAUACUACCCCGAGAUACCAACUCCUAUACUAUAGAUGAUAACUACUUUUUCUGACUAUUCAUCCAUUCUACCUGC